UAGAUACCGGCCGUGUGCUUUCCGUAUUUUGCAGGAUGGAACGGCUGGCCCCUAAUAGAACAGUCCUAUCCUAGUCCAUAAUGCAGAGAAUAAUAGGACAUGUUCUAUUUUUUUGCGGAACGGACAUACGGAAACGGAAUGCAAACUGAAUCAUUUCUGUUGUUU